CAGUCGACGGAGUAGCAAUACUUUAGUGGCGAACGGGUGAGUAACACGUAUCUAAUCUACCAUUUAGUGGGGGAUAACUGUUAGAAAUGACAGCCAAUACCGCAUAUGUUAUUAGUAUGAAAAACUAAUAAUGAAAGAAGCAGUAAUGCUUGGCUAAUUGAUGGGGAUGCGGCGCAUUAGCUAGUUGGUAAGGUAAUGGCUUACCAAGGCAAUGAUGCGUAGCCGGUCUGAGAGGACGAACGGCCACAUUGGGACUGAGACACGGCCCAAACUUCUACGGAAGGCAGCAGUAGGGAAUUUUUCACAAUGGGCGCAAGCCUGAUGGAGCAAUGCCGCGUGACUGAUGAAGGUCUUCGGAUUGUAAAGGUCUGUUGUAAGGGAAGAAAUGCUAUAAUAGGAAAUGAUUAUAGUAUUGACGGUACCUUACCAGAAAGCCACGGCUAACUAUGUGCCAGCAGCCGCGGUAAUACAUAGGUGGCAAGCGUUAUCCGGAUUUAUUGGGCGUAAAGCGUGCGUAGACGGUUAUGCAAGUCUGAGGUUAAAUUUAGGGGCUCAACCCCUAACCGCCUUGGAAACUACAUUACUAGAGUAUAGGAGAGGUUAGUGGAAUUUCAUGUGUAGCGGUGGAAUGCGUAGAUAUAUGAAGGAACACCAGUGGCGAAAGCGGCUAACUGGCCUAUUACUGACGUUGUGGCACGAAAGCGUGGGGAGCAAAUAGGAUUAGAUACCCUAGUAGUCCACGCUGUAA
rnacentral:rRNA from 1 species